AUCGCUUCUUGGCCUUUUGGCUAAGAUCAAGUGCAGUAUCUGUUCUUAUCAGUUUUAAUAUCUGAUACGUCCUCUAUCUGAGGACAAUAUAUUAAACGGAUUUUUGGAAUUAGGAGUUGGAAUAGGCCAGGCGGUGGUGGCGCACGCCUUUAAUCCCAGCACUUGGGAGGCAGAGGCAGGCGGA